UUGCACGGUGGCCAUCUUGAAAAGUUCACUUUGUUUUUGCGAUUGGCGGUUCGUAUUGAUAAAUUGCGAAAGUAAAAGCAUUGCUUUGAAGAAUUGGAUACUACAAUUUACAUUUUAAAACUGGUGUUAAACUGUUUUGAACAAUGAAUAACCCAGUUAAGUUUGAAGACCUUUUUGAGUACAUCAAAGUUAGUGAAGAUGAAGAUGAUUGUAAUGCCGUAGAGAUACCUUGUGAAGUUGAUGGGACUCUUUUGAUAUCCACUUUGGUGGCUCAAUUCCCUGGAGCAUGUGGAUUAAAAUAUCGACAUCGGGAAACCAAAACGAUACGCGGUAUCCGUCUCAGUGAUGGCAAACUGCAUCCGCCGAGUGAAGCAGGAUGGGGUAAAUAUUUAUAUAUUUGCGUAUUCCCGAAGGAAAAUAAGCGGAAGAUGGAAGAUGUGUCACCUGAAAACUCUGCAGCAAAGACCAAACGCUUAGAAAAGAAGCUCACUUGCUCAGACUUAAUUUGCCUGGGACUGCCUUGGAAGUCGACUGAAGAAUCCUUAAAACAAUAUUUUGAGCAGUUUGGUGAGGUAGUAAUGGUUCAGUUGAAACGAGAUAAAAACGGUGCCUUUAAAGGCUUUGGAUUCAUACGCUUUGCUACGUACGCUUCGCAAAUGCGAGCUUUGGCCCAGAGGCAUAAUAUUGAUGGCAGAUGGGUUGAUGUCCGCAUUCCUAACUCUAAAGAAGGAGUAGUUCCACAGAUGCCUUGCAAAGUUUUCGUUGGCAGGUGUACUGAAGAUAUGACCGCGGAUGAUCUUCGUGAAUACUUCUCUAGAUUUGGAGAAGUAACAGAUGUAUUUGUUCCACGGCCAUUUAGAGCUUUUGGUUUUGUAACUUUCCUAGACCCUGAAGUGGCACAGAGUCUCUGUGGUGAAGACCAUGUUAUCAAAGGUGCAUCAGUUUCUGUAUCUAGUGCUGCACCAAAAAUCAAAAGCAAGUCCAAUCCAAAUUGGAAGGAUGAUUCUUACAGUUCUAACAAUUGGGAUGGUAAUCGUUCUGGACCUUCUGGUGGAUCUAAUGGCAAUGGAAACAGUAACAAUAUUGAUACAUUGAACAUGCAAAACUUGGGAAUAAACCCUAAUGGUGGUCCACCAGCUAACUUCAAUUUGCCUAUAAGCCUUGUCGCUGCAGCUCUCAACCAAGCUGGAUGGGGUGGAUUCUUGGGAGGGCAGGGGGGUUCAGGUCCAAAUAAUUGGCAAGGUGGCCCCCCACAAGGUAGUUCAGGUAAAAAUUGGAACAGUAACCAAAAUUGGGGACAAAAUGGACCACCUCCAGCAUGGAAUCAGGGUAACAAUCCCAAUUGGAAUGGUGGGAAAAAUGGUAACUGGAACCAAGGGAAUUGGCCGAGUGGACAAGGUUGGGGUGGUAAUGGUGGGGGUGGUUCUGCUGGGUCUGGUGGUGGAUGGAACAAAUCUCAAACAUGAGGUGAACAUAGCUGUUUAUACCAGAAAUGUUUGUGAGAGAAGUUUUAACUGCUCUCAGAGAUUUCAAUUGAGAUGAAAAUUGCUUAGUUCAGUAAAAGGUAUGCAGAGUUUGCCAGUUGAAAGUUUGAGAUUAGGAGACAUGAAUGAUUGAUCAACGAAGAUUGAGCAGAGAAGAUUAGAAUUAUUUUGUUGGCUAUUUUUUAUUAAAAAAGUCUUGUUUAAUUAAAAUUUUAUAUUUACACAUGAAUGCAUAUUCACUAAAUACAACGAAUUAUAACUAAAACUCCUUACCAUUAGCUUGAUAAAGUCUUUAAUCGAAUUAUUACAAGAACUACAUACUCAUGGUAUAUCACAGCAAGCAUUUACAUAAAUAACAAUUGAAACUUUUUCGUUUUCCAUUACACAUCUUAUUUUAAAUAGGUAAAAUAUAUGCCACAUAGCAAAAACUUAAAAUUUUUAGAUAAGUUUCUUUUUCUUAAAUAUAACAACAAUGGAACUGAAGUAUUUUACUUAUAUGUAUAUUUUUUGAUUCUCAUUUACAAACAAAAUCAAUUAUUACCCAAAUUAUAGUUAUAUUUAUAUGACUGACACAUAACAAAACAAAAUUUCCAUACAAUAUAUGAGAGAUUGUUAUAAUGUGAAGACGUAAUAUUAGAAUGA